GAAUUUAAUGAGCAGAGAGGCUGGAGAAGAGGAGGGGUCAGACACUGCACGAUCAUCGUGACGUCCAAGAAAGCUGAGACACCUGCGUUUUCAAUACUCUGGGAGGCUGAGGCAGGAACAUCACGAGUUUAAACCCAUGAGUCUGAGCAACUCAGUGAUUACCAGAGCCAUUUCAUCGAGCUGUUCGCAUCUGUGAGUGGAAUCCACCCUGAAGCAGAAGGCUGCCUGGACUAAGCGUACAGCUGGCAGCUAGCUCCGGAUCCUCUGUGCAGCAGCCUUGGGCCGGAAAUGCUGCACCAAGACAGCUGAACGGCUCUCUUCCAGCUCCUCCCAGCUCCUGCUGGCUGCUCACCUCGAGCCUGACCUACAGAGCGGAAAAAUGAUCUGGCAUCCUUUCAUAUCUUUAUAUGGAAGAUGCUGUGACUGGGUUACAUCAGCAUCUAUCCACCACAGAAGUCGGAAUUCAAAGACUGCAGCUCCUCUCGUGGACUACACGAGGCACUGUGGAGACACCAAGGCCCCUGAUUCCCUGGGCUGGUCUGGGUGUUUCCUGCCCUCCAGGGUUGGAGCCGCCUGGGCUCUGGUGGAGGUGGGAGUGGGGAGGCCUGGCUGUCUCUUAUAGACACUUUUCUUUGAGGUUUUUCUCUCAUCUGACAAGUGAAAAACAAGAAAUCCUGAAGGAGGAGAAUAAGGCCUAAGUACAAGCACAAUAAAAGUGGGAAAAGUUUGGUCUGUUGGGUUUUAAUCAUUCUGGAAGUCAGAGGGUUCAAUUCUCUGUCUCCCUCCCUCUCU